GCCAACAAAGUGUAUGUACUGUGUUGUUGUUUUAGAAUAACAAUUUGUUUUUCUAAUAUUUUAUAAGGUGUCAGAGAGUGGCAGUGUUCUUGAUGAUCUGGAUCUUCAAAGCUUGGCACUGCAGGUUGGAGAAGCUCUCGUCUCUCAUGUACAGCAGAGAGUGGCAGAGAAGCCUGCAGAGGAAGCACGAUAUGAACUGGAGCAGUUUUUUCAGAGGUCAGAGGUCAAAAGCAACCAAGGAUGGCUUCUGCUUAAAUCAAUAUCUUUCUUGUCCAACAGAGAUACUGAGGUUGGUGUUAUGAUCAAGACGGGCCUGCCUGCGGCGCUAGUCAAAUCUCUGUAUCUGUUUGUAGCUUUGCCUCCCCGAAAAGAGAAUUCUGACUCUUCACCAAAAGAUGUCAAAGAGGAUCUCAAAUGUUCUUUUCAGGACACUCUUAUUCAGGGAUUUUUGCAACUGUGCAGGCAUGUGUGUUUUGUGGAGGUUUUGCUGGAGACCCAGGAGCUGUCGAGUGUGAUCAUCUCUCUCACUCUACUGUGGGAUCAGUGCAGCUCUUCAUGGAGACAGCAGGCGUCUCGAGUCCUCAGAUCAGUGUCUGCGGCACAAGCUCACAACACUGUAUCUGCACUGCAAGGUCAGCAAAGACCAGAACAUUCUUCAUCCAUCCGAAUGUGUCUUAUUAGAUGAUGUUUUUCGCAAUAAAUGGUUUAGGUAAUAGGUCUACGUAAUAUCUAUUUUUAUCAACACAUUUAUUUUGUUUUGGCUAAAUGUGGAUAGGCACUGUAUGAACACUGUCAGAUGACCAUAAUAUUGAUUUACUUUCACAUGAUGCUGAUUUGAGUUACUGAGCUGUGCCAGAUCUCUGAUUGCAUAACAUUUUGGUUUUAGACAUUUACUGAGUGUAGACAGGGUUGCAGUUAAAUGUUGAGCACCCUUUUUGAUGGUCCUUGGUCUAGGACUAGUAGCAAUAGUAGAG
rnacentral:lncRNA from 1 species